UGCCCAUGAUGACUCGCCAUGCUAAUACCGACCCCCAGCUGGGCCCGCAGCUUGGCUCUGGCGUGGGGGGGUGAGUUCAACUCUUUUCGCGAAGAGCUGAGGCGC
rfam:Alligator mississippiensis ScZkoYb_419, whole genome shotgun sequence.